ACUGCGAAUACCGGAGAAUGUUAUCACGGGAGACACACGGCGGGUGCUAACGUCCGUCGUGAAGAGGGAAACAACCCAGACCGCCAGCUAAGGUCCCAAAGUCAUGGUUAAGUGGGAAACGAUGUGGGAAGGCCCAGACAGCCAGGAUGUUGGCUUAGAAGCAGCCAUCAUUUAAAGAAAGCGUAAUAGCUCACUGGUCGAGUCGGCCUGCGCGGAAGAUGUAACGGGGCUAAACCAUGCACCGAAGCUGCGGCAGCGACACUGUGUGUUGUUGGGUAGGGGAGCGUUCUGUAAGCCUGUGAAGGUGUGUCGUGAGGCAUGCUGGAGGUAUCAGAAGUGCGAAUGCUGACAUAAGUAACGAUAAAGCGGGUGAAAAGCCCGCUCGCCGGAAGACCAAGGGUUCCUGUCCAACGUUAAUCGGGGCAGGGUGAGUCGACCCCUAAGGCGAGGCCGAAAGGCGUAGUCGAUGGGAAACGGGUUAAUAUUCCCGUACUUGGUGUUACUGCGAAGGGGGGACGGAGAAGGCUAUGUUGGCCGGGCGACGGUUGUCCCGGUUUAAGCGUGUAGGUGUGUGUUCCAGGUAAAUCCGGUUCACUUUAACACUGAGGCGUGACGACGAGGCACUACGGUGCUGAAGCAACAAAUGCCCUGCUUCCAGGAAAAGCCUCUAAGCAUCAGGUAACAUCAAAUCGUACCCCAAACCGACACAGGUGGUCAGGUAGAGAAUACCAAGGCGCUUGAGAGAACUCGGGUGAAGGAACUAGGCAAAAUGGUGCCGUAACUUCGGGAGAAGGCACGCUGACACGUAGGUGAAGUGAUUUACUCAUGGAGCUGAAGUCAGUCGAAGAUACCAGCUGGCUGCAACUGUUUAUUAAAAACACAGCACUGUGCAAACACGAAAGUGGACGUAUACGGUGUGACGCCUGCCCGGUGCCGGAAGGUUAAUUGAUGGGGUCAGCGCAAGCGAAGCUCCUGAUCGAAGCCCCGGUAAACGGCGGCCGUAACUAUAACGGUCCUAAGGUAGCGAAAUUCCUUGUCGGGUAAGUUCCGACCUGCACGAAUGGCGUAAUGAUGGCCAGGCUGUCUCCACCCGAGACUCAGUGAAAUUGAACUCGCUGUGAAGAUGCAGUGUACCCGCGGCAAGACGGAAAGACCCCGUGAACCUUUACUAUAGCUUGACACUGAACAUUGAGCCUUGAUGUGUAGGAUAGGUGGGAGGCUUUGAAGUGUGGACGCCAGUCUGCAUGGAGCCGACCUUGAAAUACCACCCUUUAAUGUUUGAUGUUCUAACGUGGACCCGUUACCCGGGUUGCGGACAGUGUCUGGUGGGUAGUUUGACUGGGGCGGUCUCCUCCUAAAGAGUAACGGAGGAGCACGAAGGUUGGCUAAUCCUGGUCGGACAUCAGGAGGUUAGUGCAAUGGCAUAAGCCAGCUUGACUGCGAGCGUGACGGCGCGAGCAGGUGCGAAAGCAGGUCAUAGUGAUCCGGUGGUUCUGAAUGGAAGGGCCAUCGCUCAACGGAUAAAAGGUACUCCGGGGAUAACAGGCUGAUACCGCCCAAGAGUUCAUAUCGACGGCGGUGUUUGGCACCUCGAUGUCGGCUCAUCACAUCCUGGGGCUGAAGUAGGUCCCAAGGGUAUGGCUGUUCGCCAUUUAAAGUGGUACGCGAGCUGGGUUUAGAACGUCGUGAGACAGUUCGGUCCCUAUCUGCCGUGGGCGCUGGAGAACUGAGGGGGGCUGCUCCUAGUACGAGAGGACCGGAGUGGACGCAUCACUGGUGUUCGGGUUGUCAUGCCAAUGGCACUGCCCGGUAGCUAAAUGCGGAAGAGAUAAGUGCUGAAAGCAUCUAAGCACGAAACUUGCCCCGAGAUGAGUUCUCCCUGAGACUUAGAGUCUCCUGAAGGAACGUUGAAGACGACGACGUUGAUAGGCCGGGUGUGUAAGCGCAGCGAUGCGUUGAGCUAACCGGUACUAAUGAACCGUGAGGCUUAACCUU
rnacentral:rRNA from 1 species